rnacentral:misc_RNA from 1 species
CCCAAUGUGAACCAUACCAAACUGUUGCCUCGGCGGGGUCACGCCCCGGGUGCGUCGCAGCCCCGGAACCAGGCGCCCGCCGGAGGGACCAACCAAACUCUUUUCUGUAGUCCCCUCGCGGACGUUAUUUCUUACAGCUCUGAGCAAAAAUUCAAAAUGAAUCAAAACUUUCAACAACGGAUCUCUUGGUUCUGGCAUCGAUGAAGAACGCAGCGAAAUGCGAUAAGUAAUGUGAAUUGCAGAAUUCAGUGAAUCAUCGAAUCUUUGAACGCACAUUGCGCCCGCCAGUAUUCUGGCGGGCAUGCCUGUCCGAGCGUCAUUUCAACCCUCGAACCCCUCCGGGGGGUCGGCGUUGGGGAUCGGGAACCCCUAAGACGGGAUCCCGGCCCCGAAAUACAGUGGCGGUCUCGCCGCAGCCUCUCCUGCGCAGUAGUUUGCACAACUCGCACCGGGAGCGCGGCGCGUCCACGUCCGUAAAACACCCAACUUCUGAAAUGUUGACCUCGGA